rnacentral:tRNA from 1 species
GGAGCUAUGGCUCAAUAGUGGAGCACCUGCUUUGUGUGUAUGAGGUCCCGGGUUCAAUGCCCAGCAUCUCCA